UGUAUAUAACUAAGAUGUAGCUUCGGUUUUCAUUUCCAUUAUGUUUUUACAACGAUAUUGUUGAGUUAUUGACCUUAAACUUUCGUUGUUUUCUAUUUUUAUAGAUCCUUCUGUUGUGAGGAUGCUGUGGAAGUGAUUCUUUGAAAGCUUUACGGUGGACAGAUUCUGCAGAUUCUGCAUGGCAACAAGAGGCGAGAUGCAAGCUAAGGAGAUGACUGCAAACCGAAAGAUGACCAUGAGGGUCAUUCUCACAGAGGCUGAUAUAAGAAAAGUUGUUCUUAAUACAAGACCCUCUACAGUGGGAGAUUUGAUAAGCAAGCUAAAAGAGUUGAUGGGAAUUCAAUACAACUUCAGCCUCCAAUACCAAGACCCAGAAUUCAAUAAUGAACUAUGUAAUCUGACAGAUACUGAAGAACUUCCAGAAAAACCUACAGUUAAAGUCUUGCCUGUUGUUGAGCUGGUACCUGUCCCACCUGAUGAAGUCUUCAGUGACACGAGUACAGCAGAUACAGAGAUUCUCUCACACUCAUCUCUGGAGCGACGGGAACAGUGGCCAGAAUUUUUUGACAUCCCAACAUUUUCAGUUGAUGUACAAUAUAGACUUAGGCAAGCAGAUCUGCUUUUUAUGAGUGAGGGAACACACCUUAAAGUAUCAAAAGAACUAAAACACGAGAUACUUGAAAGAUUGGC